rnacentral:rRNA from 1 species
GAUGAACGCUGGCGGCGUGCCUAAUACAUGCAAGUCGAGCGAACGGACGAGAAGCUUGCUUUUCUGAUGUUAGCGGCGGACGGGUGAGUAACACGUGGAUAACCUACCUAUAAGACUGGGAUAACUUCGGGAAACCGGAGCUAAUACCGGAUAAUAUUUUGAACCGCAUGGUUCAAAAGUGAAAGACGGUCUUGCUGUCACUUAUAGAUGGAUCCGCGCUGCAUUAGCUAGUUGGUAAGGUAACGGCUUACCAAGGCAACGAUGCAUAGCCGACCUGAGAGGGUGAUCGGCCACACUGGAACUGAGACACGGUCCAGACUCCUACGGGAGGCAGCAGUAGGGAAUCUUCCGCAAUGGGCGAAAGCCUGACGGAGCAACGCCGCGUGAGUGAUGAAGGUCUUCGAAUCGUAAAACUCUGUUAUUAGGGAAGAACAUAUGUGUAAGUAACUGUGCACAUCUUGACGGUACCUAAUCAGAAAGCCACGGCUAACUACGUG